AGGCAGGUGACAAGCACUACCAUCCCAGUUGUGCAAGGUGCAGCAGAUGCAACCACAUGUUCACAGAAGGAGAGGAAAUGUACCUGCAAGGAUCUACAGUAUGGCAUCCAGACUGUAAGAACAAUAGCAGAGCUGAAGAGAAAUACAGGCCUACCAGGUCCUCGUCUGAGAGUAUCUGCUCAAGACCUGGCUCCAGCAUCUCAGGGUCCCCUGGUCACACUAUCUAUGUGAGUACCUACAGCAACUCUGCACACUACUAACUGGAGAUGCAACUGAAGGUUACACAACUGACUGGGGACUCCAAUGAAUCAACAGUGUUCUUCUACUUUAUUUAUUAUUGAUUUAUAUCACUCCAAGGUGUUCCUUAUUUAUUGUGCUGUAUCAUCUUUGUGUAUGUUAUGUUGGGAGUCAUGUACACUGUCCUGAGUUCUUUAUGGUUGUCUUGUCGUUGUCCUGUAUGUAUUUUGUACAAUACAAAAAUGUAAUAACAGCAUCACAAUUCCGGCUAAAUACUAUUAUAUCGUUAUUAGGUAGUGUAGGGCUUUUUUUAGUCUUGGUAGCUCUUUAGUUGAACCCUCAGUCAUAAAACAGGCUUAACAUUGUCAUUGGUAUGACAUAACACAUGAUGUGAGUAGUCAAUCCAUUUAAUUCAAUGCAACAACACAACUCAAUUCAAUAAUGUGAGCUGACAUGGUGUACACUGCCUUCGGAAAGUAUUCAGACCCCUUGAAUUUUC